rnacentral:rRNA from 1 species
AUGGAGCUUUAGACACACAGGUGGACCAUGUCAAAUACCCCCAACUAAGGGCCUGAACUAAAUGGAACCUGCCUUGAUGUCUUCGGUUGGGGCGACCAUGGGGAAUACAAAACCCCCACGUGGAAAGGGAGCACACCCCUAAGUUACUUCUUCUCCCGCAAGCCAGAGCAACAGCUCUAACAAGCAGAAAUUCUGACCAAACUGAUCCGGUAAAACCGAUCAACGAACCA